rnacentral:sRNA from 1 species
CUGACAACCCCAAGGGCUGAAUUCCUCUGAUUUUUUGUACAGAAUGAAUUAAACAUGCAUGUUUCCCGUCAUGACCCAGCCAGUGUACCUCAGUUCUGACCUGGAAGGUCCACCUCUAAGGAUGAAGGGAUCUACAAGUCCAUGUAGUCCUUGGCUUUUCUGCUACA